rnacentral:lncRNA from 1 species
CAGACACAAUAUUUAAUAAAAAAAGGAACAAAAUAUCGAAACCAUCUAUAUACUGUAAUGUACCUUUAAACCAAUGCUAGGGAAAAACAAAGGGAAAACACAAAACUGCAAUAAACUUCAUCUUCUCUCCCAGGUUUUUCUUGAACAAUUCCCACCCCCAUUCCCUACUAUGUAUCCUUAACUUCUUUAGACAGUGAAUGAGAAAUUAAUACUAAAAGCCCUCAAAUGAACCCUAGGGACAUUUCCUGGGUUUUCCCUUCUUCUCCCCUCUCCAACCGUGCCGUGAAGGGCAAGCCCCUCAGCCCUAAAAUCUGAGGAGGCCCAGAGUGGUGGCUGGGGCAGAGGAGUGGGCUACCCCUGCAGAGUAGAGACGUGUAUAGUGGGGGAUAUCCACUGGGAGCCCCAGUCCCAGGUGAAAGCACACUGGUGCUCCUGGGCAAGGAGGCCCGGCUGUCCCCACAAUCUCCCGUGGGGAAGCAUCAUUGGUUGGUCGACUGCCCAUCUUGCUGCGGUUAUAGAACCAAACUCGAACCACAUCCUUCUGCAGCUGGAGGCACCCAGCAAUGUGGCUGAUUUGCUGGGGUGUGGGCUUAGGGCACCGCUGGAAGAAUUUCUCCAGGCUGUUUCCGAUUCGUCGCUCUCUGCUUGCCCGUCUCCACUUCCCAGACUGUUGCAGGAUCAUCUCCAUUUUGCAUAAGCCCAGAAGGUUCUCUGCUUCCACUUCCUUCAGCCACUUUUUCAGCAGUGGUCGCAGCUUCCACAUGUUGGCGACGCUUAGCUGCUGGGCCUCGAAGCGGCAGAUGGUCGUCUGGCUAAGCACCUUCCCAAACAGAGCUCCCACAGCGAUCCCCACAUCGGCCUGCGAGUACCCUAGGCUCAACCUCUUCUGCCUCAACUCCUUGGCCAAUUGCUGCAACUCUUUCAGUAUGCCCGAGAUGUCCUCUGGCGGCGGCAACUUCGGAAUGCUCCGCAGGGCAAUGUAGGGCCCCGGGAGGGCGCCUUCGGAGGGGCGUCGCAACCAGUCCCCUGCCUCACUAGCUCCAAGACGGGGCCUGCAGGGUGCUAUCCAGCCCCGGAAUUCGUGUGGCAGGGGACCCAGGGGAAUCCUCCACACGUCAGGGCCUGGGCAGAUCCCUGGCCUGACUGCCGGCCAGACCAUCACCCUGCCAGGGGCCGCCUGGGUGCUCAACCAGGUCAGAGUGUCAACCCGCAGGGGCAUCGGCCCUCUGGGGCCGCCCCCACCACUGCCUGGAAGGGGGCAGAAGUGGUUUGAGGGCCUGUGUCCGGCCAUGGGUGGAAUGGCACCCGCAGCGGCUCUGGUAGGAACUGAUGGCCCUCGAGGCUUCAGAACAGCCACCGGCCCCCUCAAGCCCCGCCCCCCAGUGGGCGGAGAAGGCGUUACAAGCCAAGGGUGCCUGUGCGUAGGCGGGGAAAUCUGGUAGAUCCAUAGGAACUCCUGGGUCCUAGGGUUAAGGGAGUGAGCCCCCUACCCUGACCUUUGCUUCCAACUCCCAUAGAGGGUGUCAAAUCUUAUGUACUGGGACUCCUAAAACAUCUGAAGUCUACCAUCUCCUUCCUAGCCUCAUCUUCCUGGGCCCUUAAAUACCUCUUCCUAGAUGAAGGCAGCACCUUGAGACUAAAUUCAACCCAACACUACAGGUUGGGUUGCAGAUAUGGCCUUGAAGCAAUGGUAAAGGAAAAAGAAUCAGAAAAUUGGCUGCCAUCGCUACAGGCUGUGUACUUAGUUAUGUGUCAUCUGUAUCUCUACUGCAACCCUUGCUAGAAUGUGUGCCGGCUAUGAGCAGGGUCACUGUCUGUCUUGUUCACUGCUAGAUCCUCAGCACGUG